rnacentral:lncRNA from 1 species
GAAGACAUUGAGAGAUAGUGCUGGAUGUGGCUCGCAUGAGGAGUACUUACGUAGCAUUAUGAAGCCGUGGGUUUAAUACUCAGAGCUACCUGAACCAGGAUGGGGUAAAGUACAUUCCUGCAAUGCUGGUGGUUUGGAGAUGGAAGUAGGAGGAUCAGACAUUCAAAGUCAUCCGUGGGAACACAGUGGCCAGCUCUGCCAAGAGAGAUGCUUGGAAGUGAGUAUUCUGCUAGCAGCCUUCAGUUGAAGAUGUAGAACAUUCAGCUCCUCCUGUGCCAUGCCUACCUGGACAACGUCAUGCUCCUGCCUUGAUGAUAAUGGACUGAACCUCUGAACCUAUGACGCUAGUUCAUGCUAAGUUGACAAAACUCUACCUUGGUGAAUGUUGGUCUGUGCUCCCAUUGUUUUGGGUAGUGAUGGAAGAGGCUGCUGUCUGAAACACCUUAGGGACUGUCCUUCAGAAGGGGUAAUCGUCUCAUCAAGCUGUCCAGAAAGCAAAGUCCAUAUCCUAGCAGCCUUCAGAUGAACACCUAGAAUUCUCCUGCACCAUGCCUGCCUGGAUGUUGCCAUGUUCCUGCUUUGAUGAUAAUGAACCGCUGAACCUGUAAGCCAGCCCCAAUUAAAUCGUGUCCUUAUAAU